CUAGCUCAGGCAAUUCUUAGAAUAAUCCUAAAAAAUAGGAAGUAUUAUUACCAUUUUAUAGCCAAUGAAACUGAGGCUCAGAGAGACUAUACCUACCAAAUAGUUCAGCAGCAGAGUAAGGAUUCAAAUUCAUCUUUUUAGGGAUAGAUACUGGAGCAGAGGGUACAUGUAUAUGUGCCAGCACACCUUGGAAAAUUUCAAUCCAAGAAUCCCUUGGUGCUAAAUUAAAAGCCACUUUCCUAUGAAGCAAAGAUUCUGUCUUAAGGUUAAAUGAGAAAAAAAAAAAAUCUGUUCUAGUUAUCUAUCACCAUAUAACAAAUUACUACAAACUUAGUGGUUUUAAAAAGAACCACAUUUAUUAUCUCACAAUUUCAGUGGUUAGAAGUCUGGAGGAUGGCUUAACUUAUCUUCUGUUCAGUCUCACAAAAUGUUGGCCAAGCCUAUAUUCUCAUCUUGAACCUAGACUGGGGAAGAGUCUGCUUUCCUGAUCACAUGGUUUGGGGCAGCAUUCAGUUCCCUGCAGUUUUAGGACUGAGAGUUUCAGUUUCUUGUUGGCUGUCAGCUAGAGGCUGCCAGAAGCUUUAAGAAGGCACCUGCAAUUCCUUGCCAAGUGAGAUAUCUCAUCAUGGGUGCUUGCUUCUCAACAGCCAGCCAAUAACAGCAACACUUCCUGAGCAUCUGGGAGAUUUUUUUAUAUACUCUACUGCCUUUCUCAGAGUCAAAGUGUCUCCACUGACACAUUGUAAGGUCCCAGCAUCUCCAGAUUGUAGUGGAUACCACCACUAGGUAUCUUUAAAUAGUGGCCCUGGAGUGCUUAGGAGAGAACUGCGAUGGGGAAAAAGGAAAGUUUAAAAAGAAAUCCUUGCAUAGUUUAUAGGAAUAUCUCAUGUUUCAAUGGUAUGGUAAAAAAUAGUGUGGGUUUUUUUGUUGUUAGGAACGUUAAACAUUGGUUCCCUUUCCCAUACAGAAGGCAAAUGUACAUCUAAAAGGCUAAUAUUUAUUUAGAACCUACUGUGAGCCAGGCUUUGCUCAGCACUUUUACAAAUGUCAUCUCAUUCAAAUAUUUAUUUCUAUAAUAAACAUUAUUAUCCACGAAUGAAAGUUGAAAAUAUGAUCGCAGAGGAACCACUCAAUACAAGUGGGUAUUAGCUACAGAAGCAGAUACUGCAUUUUAUAGCUUUGGGUCUUCCUAGAAACCCUUCUUAGACAGGGUAUUCCUGUCUAAGAAAGUAUUCAUGUUUCAAUUAAGAAACGAUUUCUUAGAAGAAAAUUUUUCACUUUUUUAAUGGCUUAAAUGAGUUAAAGACAAUACAUAUAAACUAAUAAUAAUGAUAGUUAACAUGUAUUUAACAUUUACUAAGGAUCAGGGCACUGUUAGAAAUAAAUUACUGCAUUUAUUCUAAACAGUGUACUGAGAUAUAAACUAUUAUUAUGUCCAUUUUACAGAUAAAGAAACUAAAGACUGAAGAGGUGAAGUAAUUUGUCAAAGUCAAACAGAGGCUGAGCCAAGACUUGAAUCCAAGGAAUCUUAGUGCUCAAUUCUAAGAGCUCCUGAAGGCCAAUUCACUUUCUUCUUCAAAUAGCAUUUGUUAGAUAGGUAGGUAGGUAGGUAGGUAGGUAGAUAGAUAGAUAGAUAGAUAGAUAGAUAGAUAGAUAGAUAGAUAGAUAGAUAGACAGACAGACAGACAGACAGACAGGGAUAUACAUAUUUCAAAACACAAAUAAUUUACAGUGAAGGUAAGUCCAAGAAGAUCUGAAUGAAUGCUUUAAGAUGGAAAAUCUACAUUUCAUGUAUCCAGGUCAUUCCAAUUUUCUCAUUUCCCAAUAUAUGUUUAAAAUUUAAUUGUGAUGUUUCUUUGAAAAGGUGCCCUUCUACAUUUUCAAACCCUUCUUUCUUUACAUAUGGAGUAAGGCAACUGCAGCUUCUAAUCACCUCCUUAAUAUGAGGGUUUUUUUUGAAAUGGUAAAUUGCUGUGAGAUGAAAAGUAGAUCUCAUAUUUCUUGGGGCUAAAUUCAGUACUCAGCUACAAACGUGGUCACAAGGUCUCCUUGCUGAGGUCUUUUAUGUUACUUUAAUUAAGUUUUAGCUAUUAUUAUUACUGCUGCCUCUAAAGGUAUAUAAAGUAUCUUAGGAAACAUGUUUUUUAAGAGCAUCUAUAUUUGUUUUUCCCUAAACAAUCUUGAGAUUAAUUUCAUGUUCAACCCUGCUGUCUGCUAGGUGCUCUGUGCUCUAGCAUCCUUCUUAGAUUGAUAUGAAACCAUGUGUAAAAAUCAAACCUUGGCCACACAAGGUUUGGUAACAUUAUAUCUGGUUUGAAAAAAUGUCUCUGGUGCCCAAAACAAAAUUACUCUGUAAGGGUGUAGGCUAAAUCCUCAGGCAUGCUAUUGUGGUUGCAAGUCAGCUCCAUUUCUCUAUUUUUUGUCCCAGAGUGGCCACGGACAGGCUGCUGCUCCACUGAGCCUCUGCAGCAGUUGGCGGCCAACAGCUCUCUAUGGGGAACUCGAGAAUGGAAAAGCAGCCAAUCAUGCAUGGUAUAAUUUACAUCUGAUUGAUGAAGGUCUAAGAAUCACAGAAACAAUUAAUUUGUAUCAGGAUUCCUGUGGGCCAAGAAGUAAGAGAUUGUGCCACUGGUACCCAAUUUUAAUUUUUGCUUUGAUCAAUCACCUGCCUUUCCACAUCUACUUUGUUUUCAGAAUUAACUUUUGCAGCCACAGAUGUUAAAGGAUGCAGCAGAAAGACUUUCUGGAAAACAAGAACACCAAGGAAAACACUCAUUGAUAAAACUCACUUGUCACUGCACUACAUUAUCCCUUUUUCAAUUUGAUAAUGGUAAGGCAUUUUCCCAGCAACUGCAAAGGAGGAUUUAAAAACUCUUUUUUAAAAUAAACCACUUUGUUUUUAUUCAUGUAAGAAUGAUUACAAUGGCCACGAGAAAUGAAAAAGAAUAGUGGCUACUUCCUAGGAGGAGAACAACAGCAGGAGCAAUUUAAAAUAAAAAUAACUAAAGAUGCCUUAACUUUGUAGUUAAAAAUGAAAUGAAAAUUGCAAAAGCAAUUUGUGGCAGGAAGCCUUUAAAAUGUUCUAAGGAUUGUUCUUACUUUGCAUAAGCUAUGGCCAAUCUUUAAAAGAGUUUAGUCCAUUAAGCAUAUGUAUAUCUUAUUCAACACUCUAUUGUAGGCAGAAGCCCCUCAAUUAUGAAAUUGUAGAAGGAUGGGUCUGACAGAGUCUCAUCUAAUUACAGGAGCAAAUUACAAGUUCAUAAACUUCAUAAAGCAUUCUAAUAUCUUUCCUUAAUAAGAAAUCUCACUGCUCAAGCCAGGAAUAUAUCUAACACAGUCGUAUUUUUUUCUACUACUCUUGGCAUGUAAUUGCCCUUUACUUGUAACAAUGCACAAAACAAUAGAAAAUAGCAUCCAUCGUCUUUUAUUGAUCAAAUGUUUAAAUUAGUAUUAAUCGUGUUCACACACUUCUAAAAGAUGAUUUAACAUGACUGCAAUUACUUAUACUUGCUUGGCAAUUAUCCCAACAUUGCUUCCUAAUCUUACAGAUGUGGAAAAUGAAGAGAAGUAAAAUGGCUAGUGUCAAAGGAUGCAGAGAGCUCAAGCAGAAAUUAGCGUCCACACAACUUUAGAGCCAUUGCUUUGUUUUGGUCCUUAAGUCAAACAGAGGAUUAAUAACAGUAUCCAAAUGCAGUACUGGCUUUUCUAUAACUCUACUAGCUUGUAUACUAAACUGUCUUCAACAAUAUAAACUACUGUGGAUGAUUAAUUCAGUAUAUAUAAUACUAUAACUGUUUCUGCCUAAGCAAAAAUUUUUCAGUAUAAAAUGAGUACAGCAUAUUAUUCCAGCUCUGUGAGACAGCCCCGAAUCCCCAGGCACUUGGGAAAAGAUGGUCCACACCAGUAAAAAAUGCACAAAUCUUGAUCAGUCAUAUAUAAUACCCACCUAUCCCACUAGAAGAAGGUUGCUUUUACUGAGCACAGACUCACUAACUAACCUUAAGUGCUGCUAAAUGUUAUUAGUUCCAUAGUACCGUUGAUUUUCAUUCAUCCUUGUAAACUUUCCUAUAGAUACGCUUAUGAUAUUUUGACUCUUUAUGUUUUCCUCUGCUACACCAAUAUCUAUCAUCAUUUGGCAAAUUUCAAAAUGUGAAUUUCCAGUCUCUUUCCUCUAAGGACUAAUAAGAUGGGUAGGUUUUAUAUAUG
ensembl:lncRNA